AAGAAAAAUAACUGUGGGCAGUUAUCUCGUCCAGGGACAAGCCCUUCUGAAUGUGAAAACUGCCCUCAGUAACGAGGGACUGUUACAGAUCUGUAAACUGUCAUUUCUGCUGGGAACCAACCUCACCAGGUGAGUGCUUUCUGUUGCCUCUGGUGUUGCUGAUCGUAUAUUGGCA
rnacentral:lncRNA from 1 species